rnacentral:misc_RNA from 1 species
UCCGGUUUGUCACCGGCAGUCAUCUUAGAGUGCCCAACUGAAUGCUGGCAACUAAGAUCAAGGGUUGCGCUCGUUGCGGGACUUAACCCAACAUCUCACGACACGAGCUGACGACAACCAUGCACCACCUGUCACCACUGUCCCCGAAGGGAAAAGCCUAUCUCUAAGCCGGUCAGUGGGAUGUCAAGACCUGGUAAGGUUCUUCGCGUCGCAUCGAAUUAAGCCGCAUGCUCCGCCGCUUGUGCGGGGCCCUGUCAAUUCCUUUGAGUUUUAGCCUUGCGGCCGUACUCCCCAGGCGGGGUGCUUAAUGCGUUAGCUUCGGCACGGACGGGGUCGAUAUCCGCCCACACCUAGCACCCAACGUUUACGGCUAGGACUAC